rnacentral:rRNA from 1 species
UGGGGAAUAUUGCACAAUGGGCGCAAGCCUGAUGCAGCCAUGCCGCGUGUAUGAAGAAGGCCUUCGGGUUGUAAAGUACUUUCAGCGGGGAGGAAGGGAGUAAAGUUAAUACCUUUACUCAUUGACGUUACCCGCAGAAGAAGCACCGGCUAACUCCGUGCCAGCAGCCGCGGUAAUACGGAGGGUGCAAGCAUUAAUCGGAAUUACUGGGCGUAAAGCGCACGCAGGCGGUUUGUUAAGUCAGAUGUGAAAUCCCCGGGCUCAACCUGGAAACUGCAUCUGAUACUGGCAAGCUUGAGUAUCGUAGAGGGGGGUAGAAUUCCAGGUGUAGCGGUGAAAUGCGUAGAGAUCUGGAGGAAUACCGGUGGCGAAGGCGGCCCCCUGGACAAAGACUGACGCUCAGGUGCGAAAGCGUGGGGAGCAAACAGG